rnacentral:rRNA from 1 species
UACGUUCCCGGGUCUUGUACACACCGCCCGUCACACCAUGGGAGCGGGUUUUACCAGAAGUAGGUAGCUUAACCGUAAGGAGGACGCUUACCACGGUAGGAUUCGUGACUGGGGUG